CGUGCACCAGUGGGGUCCCUCGGCCUGGCCUGCGGGAUUGGGCCAAAAUCAGCUUUCCGACAUCCCCGAACGGUCCUGGAUUGCAAGAGUGUGUAGGCCAGGCCGAGGGACCCCACUGAUGCACG
rnacentral:pre_miRNA from 1 species